rnacentral:rRNA from 1 species
ACGCUGGCGGCAGCUUACACAUGCAAUUUGACGCCCCGCAAGGGGAGUGGCAGACUCGGUGAGUAACGCGUGGGAACAUACCCUUUCCUGCGGAAUAGCUCCGGGAAACUGGAAUUAAUACCGCAUACGCCCUACGGGGGAAAGAUUUAUCGGGGAAGGAUUGGCCCGCGUUGGAUUAGCUAGUUGGUGGGGUAAAGGCCUACCAAGGCGACGAUCCAUAGCUGGUCUGAGAGGAUGAUCAGCCACAUUGGGACUGAGACACGGCCCAAACUCCUACGGGAGGCAGCAGUGGGGAAUAUUGGACAAUGGGCGCAAGCCUGAUCCAGCCAUGCCGCGUGAGUGAUGAAGGCCUUAGGGUUGUAAAGCUCUUUCACCGAUGAAGAUAAUGACGGUAGUCGGAGAAGAAGCCCCGGCUAACUUCGUGCCAGCAGCCGCGGUAAUACGAAGGGGGCUAGCGUUGUUCGGAAUUACUGGGCGUAAAGCGCACGUAGGCGGAUAUUUAAGUCAGGGGUGAAAUCCCGCAUCUCAACUGCGGAACUGCCUUUGAUACUGGGUAUCUUGAGUAUGGAAGAGGUAAGUGGUAUUCCGAGUGUAGAGGUCGAAUUCGUAGAUAUUCGGAGGAACACCGGUGGCGAAGGCGGCUUACUGGUCCAUUACUGACACUGAGGUGCAAAAAGCGUGGGGAGCAAAGAGUAUUAAAUACGCUGGGUACCCCACGCCUUUAACGAUGAAUGUUAGCCCGUCGGGCAUUAUGCUGUUCGGGGGCCGCACCUAAC